UCAUCCUUCAGCGACUUGAGGUUGUAACA
rnacentral:piRNA from 1 species